GAUGUGGAAUGUCCUUAAGACCCCAUGAAUUUUGAUGUUAUAAAAGACUAGCCAAUACACACUAAGUAGUCUCGGUGUGAUCCAUCACUCCGCAAAAAUGGAGUGGGCAACAUGUUCAUAAAAAAAUUGGACAAAUCUAUUGAUUAUAAAGCAUUCCAUGAUACAUCUGCUUUUGGUAACAUCUUUUUGUUGCAGAAAAAACCAGGUUCUUGUCAUACCACCAGGAAAAGGCACGCAAACACUUGAAGGGUGAGGGGGAACGGAGUUUAUUGGAUGGAAAGGAAAAAGGAAAAAUAACUCUUAGCAAAGAGAGAAAGAGUCCUGCUAGCGGGUUUCCCGCCUCAUAGAUUAAAUCCUAGGUCACUACAUGGGAACAGGCCAGACUCCUCUCCACUGCACACUGCACAAACUUCCCGAGGCUCCACCCCGUAAUCCCAGUGCGCAGGUGGGCAUUAUUCAGAAUCAGUGAGGAAAGGGCGGCUUCAACCCGGACCUGCAGUCCAGUUUAUCAGCCUUCAGGCUGUUUUAGUCUUGAAGGUGGGGUUUUACCAGGGGACCCUUGGCUGCCUCCUGUCUCCAUCACUUUCACAUUAGGUGCUUUGUGGUGAAAACGGUUUCAAGGGUGAUGGCACUGUACAUUUUGAGACACAGAAGCAGCUGAAAGAUCUAUUCAAAAAUGAAAUGGAUGCUUCUAAAUGAUAGCAAAGUCUUUGUUGGAUUAAGUCUUGUAAACAAUGAGAAGCAGAACUCAGAGUUAAAGAGUUCACCAAUGUUUACAGGAAGAUUUUUGGAGAAGACAUGGAUGGUAGGUGCCUUAAAGAUCUCUUUGGCAAGUUGGGAUCUGUCUUAAGUGUGAUAGUAGUGGUUAAUGAAAGUGGAAAACCCAAAGGUUUUGGAUUUGUCAGCUUUGAAAGGCAUAAAGAUGCGCAGAUGAGAUGAACAGAAAGAAGCUCAAUGGAAAACAAAUUGAUGUUGGUCAAGCUCAGAAAGAAGUAGAAUGGCAGAUGGAACUUGUGUGCAAAUUUGAAAAGAUCAAGCAGUAUAGGAUCACCAGAUAACAAAGUGUUAACAUUUAUGCAAAAAAUCAUGAUGGUAUUGAUGAAUGUCUCUGGAAAGAACUUUCUCCACUUGGUACAAUCACCAAUGCAAAGGUUAUGAAGGAUGGUUGUCACAACAAAGGGUUUGAUUUGUGUAUGUUUCUCCUCUCCAGAGGAAGCAACUAAAGCACUUUCAGAAAUGAAUGGUAGAAUUGUGGGCACUGAGCCAUUGUAUAUAGUGUUAACUCCAUGGGAAGAAAAGCAAUGAAGAGCACCAGGCUCAGCUCAUUAACCAGUACACUAUGUGCAAAGAAUGGCAAGUGUAAAAACUAUGCUCAACCUGGGAAUCAGUCCCUAUCAGCCAGCACCUUCUUCAAUUGACUUCAUGGCAGUUAUCCCACAGACUGAGAGCCAUGCUGCAAAGUAUUCUCCUAGCCAAACUGCUCAACUAAGAUCAAAUCCUCCCUAAAUUGCUCAGGGUGCCAGACCUCAUCCAUUGAAAAAUAUGCCCAAGCCACUCCUAGCUCACUACAUUUAGUAGUAAGAGACCAGCUUCUUCACAGCUUCCACGAGUCAUGUCAACACAGCUGUUGUAACACAUCGACACAGACAAUAGGAGCACAUCCUGCAGUUGCCGCUACUGCUACUACAGAUACUCCUGCUGUUUGUACCAUUUCACAGUAUAAAUAUGCUAUGGAAGCUCACAAUCCUCAAUGAUAUUUUCAUGCACAGCCCCAGGUUACCAUGCAGCAGCCUGCUGUUCAUGUAGAAGGUCAAGAACCUUUGACUUCCAUGAUGGCAUCUGCUCCUCCUCAAAAGCAAAAGGAAACGAGUGAAUGGCUGUUUCCUCUUCUUCAAGCCAUGCCCUAGUCGUGCUGGUAAAAUCAUUGGCAUGUUGUUGGAGAUUGGUAAUUUAGAACUCCUUCAUAUGCUUGAAUCUCCAGAGCCUCUCUAUACUAAGGUUGACAAAGGUAUAGCUGUACUACAAGAGCACCAAGCUAAAGAGGCUGCCCAGAAAGCAGUUAAUGGUGCCACUGGUGUUCCAAUUG
rnacentral:lncRNA from 1 species